AGAAUGUAAGAAGUACAAUGACUGCUAACUUGUUAAGGCAUCUGCUAACAUGCAUCUCUACUUUUACAUAGGGGUCUGCUAAUGAGUAUCUCUACUGCCACAUGGAAUCCUCAGAUUUCACCAUUCUGAAAGAAUAGAAAAAGGAACAGCCUGCCAUUGAUCAUGACCUCUGCAUAGCUCUGUGUAAGUGGAGUACUGAACAUAUAUAAUCCAACUGCCAAUAAAUACUGCUAACCAAGAGAUGAAGAGAUACUUCAUUCGCAUAUAUGAGAAGCGAACCUGAAGAUAUAAAAGAAAAACAAAGAGAAAACUGCAACUUACAACAGAAGAAUUAUAUAGCAACACCGGAAUUAUCAAAUCCGAUCAGAAAAAUCGUCCA